CGCAUUGGCCAUAAAAUUAUACGGUAAGUGCCCUUCUUCGAGGAAACAGGGCAGUGACCGUAAUUGUAAAAAAACUACAGUAAAUUUAAGUUGCGUUGACCGUAAAAUUACGGGGCAGUCGUCCAGUCCCUUAAUCUGUGCAGAAUACGGUCAUUCCCCGUAAUAUGCUAGCUGAUAAAGAUCACGUGUCGUUGUCACGUGUUUCUACGCAAAGAAGCGGGAAGGAGAAAAAUCAAGAUGGAUGGCCUGUGUUGAACGAAUGUUGUCUUCCAACUAGAGUCCCUUCUAACAACUUAACCUUUUAAAUAUGUAAUGUAUGAUAUAAGUCCCACAAUAUCUGGACAAAAUAUACGUAUUGGAGAGUAGGGACUCUGACAUACAGGCUCUCAUCUAAGUAUUGCGCCUAGGCAUCGAAAGAAAGAUGUUGUCUUCGUGCUUCGUCGCCGUCAGUGGUCGCCAUGUGAUUCCAAUGUCUGGAUUCAAAAUAUUAACCAGACAAUCCUUGCUUUAAAGUUUGAUCCAGUUUGCACAAUUGGAUGAAAAAAUAACUUCUGGAUCAAGAAGUGUUUCAUCGGAAUUUAUUUAGAGGGCAAUAUUUUGGAUAAGUUACUGAACUAAAGGAUCCAAAAGGAAUAAAGAUUUGGAAAAAGUGAUUCAACCAAGUUUUGAAAAAUUUGACCAUAAUUUCUCUUCUGAAAAAGUUUAUUUGUAAUUAUGUUGUUAUUUAACUUGUAAUUAGUGUAAAAUAAACCUUUUUGAUGUUUUAACUUCUUUGUUUUCAUUGUUGACACUUCUGGAUAUUGUCUCUUCUUAUUUCUUAUGUAGACAUGCUCACAUAUUUUUUUGGUAAUAAUUUUUGAGCUAAAAUUCUUUCUCUCGAUAAAAUUGUUUUCGAGAUGCUUACCUUUAAUGGAUACUUAUGGUGUUUAAAAAUUAAUUUAUCCAUAAGUUUAUGCUAGCUAGUAAAAAAUGCAGUCUAUUUUUGAAGUCGACUGCACAAGUUUUUAAUUUAUGUAUAAUUUAAUUAAUUUAUAACUUUUUAAAUAUG